rnacentral:rRNA from 1 species
UACGUAGGGUGCGAGCGUUGUCCGGAUUUAUUGGGCGUAAAGGGCUCGUAGGCGGCCUGUCGCGUCGGGGAGUGAAAGCCCACUGCUUAACGGUGGGUCUGCUUUCGGUACGGGCGGGCUAGAGUAUGGCAGGGGAGACUGGAAUUCCUGGUGUAGCGGUGGAAUGCGCAGAUAUCAGGAGGAACACCGGUGGCGAAGGCGGGUCUCUGGGCCAUUACUGACGCUGAGGAGCGAAAGCGUGGGGAGCGAACAGG